rnacentral:misc_RNA from 1 species
AACGCACAUUGCGCCCCUUGGUAUUCCAUGGGGCAUGCCUGUUCGAGCGUCAUUUGUACCCUCAAGCUAUGCUUGGUGUUGGGUGUUUUGUCCUUGCAAUUAGUGCCAGGACUCGCCUUAAAGUAAUUGGCAGCCACUGUUUUGGUAUAAAGCGCAGCACAUUUUGCGAUUUAGUCCAAUAAUAGUAGCAACCAACAAGCUCAAUUUAACACUUUUGACCUCGGAUCAGGUAGGGAUACCCGCUGAACUUAA